rnacentral:lncRNA from 1 species
AUGGCACUCAAUACAUGUACAAUCGGCGUCAAAUGAAACCCGAACAGCGGCAAGCAUUCGCAGUGGUAUGGUGCGUGCCAUCCGGUUAUCACUAUGGACAGGAGCGCAUAUAUGCAUAGUGUGACCCAACCGGAUGCGCGCGCCUGUUCA